rnacentral:rRNA from 1 species
UACGUAGGGACCGAGCGUUGUCCGGAAUCAUUGGGCGUAAAGAGCGUGUAGGCGGCCCCUUAAGUCCUGCGUGAAAUCCUGCGGCUCAACCGCAGACGGUCGUGGGAAACUGGAGGGCUAGAGUGCGGGAGAGGAGAGUGGAAUUCCCGGUGUAGCGGUGAAAUGCGUAGAUAUCCGGAGGAACACCGGUGGCGAAGGCGGCUUCCUGGACCGACACUGACGCUGAGGCGCGAAAGCUAGGGGAGCAAACGGG